AUUGAACGCUGGCGGCGGGCCUAACACAUGCAAGUCGAACGAGUGGCGGACGGGUGAGUAAUGUCUGGGAAACUGCCCGAUGGAGGGGGAUAACUACUGGAAACGGUAGCUAAUACCGCAUACCAUCGGAUGUGCCCAGCUGGGAUUAGCUAGUGGGUGGGGUAAUGGCUCACCUAGGCGACGAUCCCUAGCUGGUCGGAGAGGAUGACCGGCCACACUGGAACUGAGACACGGUCCAGACUCCUACGGGAGGCAGCAGGGGGGAAUAUUGGACAAUGGGCGAAAGCCUGAUGCAGCCAUGCCGCGUGUAUGAAGAAGGCCUUCGGGUUGUAAAGUACUUUCAGCGGGGAGGCGGUACCCGCAGAAGAAGCCCCGGCUAACUCCGUGCCAGCAGCCGCGGUAAUAC
rnacentral:rRNA from 1 species